GAUGAAGAACGUAGCGAAAUGCGAUAAGUAUUGUGAAUUGCAGAAUUCAGUGAAUCAUCGAAUCUUUGAACGCACAUUGCGCCCGCCAGUAUUCUGGCGGGCAUGCCUGUUCGAGCGUCAUUACAACCCUCAGGCCCCCGGGCCUGGCGUUGGGGAUCGGCGGAAGCCCCCUGCGGGCACAACGCCGUCCCCCAAAUACAGUGGCGGUCCCGCCGCAGCUUCCAUUGCGUAGUAGCUAACACCUCGCAACUGGAGAGCGGCGCGGCCACGCCGUAAAACACCCAACUUCUGAAUGUUGACCUCGAAUCAGGUAGGAAUACCCGCUGAACUUAAGCAUAUCAAUAAGCGGAGGA
rnacentral:misc_RNA from 1 species